ensembl:antisense 9630028H03Rik RIKEN cDNA 9630028H03 gene
UCAGACCUCAGAUUUCAAUGCUUAGGCAGGAGAUCACCUCAAUACACGGCUACUAAGAAGAUACACACCAGAAAAUAAAACUUAGGGUACAAUACAAAGUUAAAAUUGUAUCAAGAAAUCAAUUUUUAUGAUUCAAAUAUUUUCUCAAACAUGCUUGUACCCUUAGAGAAUAAAAUUGCUGAUUCUAUAGAGUAACCUAAUUUUUAUGAGAUUUCCCCUUAGAGCUAAAAUCCCAGUUAUAAUGUAGAAAAGGAUAUUACUUAUUAAAAAUGUCCCAAUAUCAAAAGCACAGAAGGUGAGCUCUGUGUAUAGGCAGCACAUCUGUAUCUACAUCUAUAUCUACAUCUCUCUGCACCUUGUCAUUGAGGAUGCUCCUGUCGAACCCAAAUGCCGUUGCUGUCACGCCAUUGGAGCAAGGGUUUCCCCUUAAAGACUGAUUUUGAAACAAAAUGAAAAUCAAGAAACCAAGAGGGUCAGCAGCACAGAGAGCUGAGACAGGUGUUUAGCCUUGGAACUCCUACAGGUUAACGGACCGGGAAACAGAAACUGCUAAUCAUAAGGAUUACACUGCUCUAUAACACAUGGGAGAACUACAAAGCCCAGAACCCAUCAACGAUUGCAUUAGAAGUCUGACAAUCUCUUGUCUUCCCUUCUGCUGAUGUGGUCGAUGAUGAAGUUUAGAAGCAAGACUCUGCUGUAAAGCAGAUUUGCCUCAUGUGAAAGCCAGUGUAAUACCUACCCAAAGAUGAGCUGACUCCUUAUCUGACAUCAGGCUGAGGCAGGAGACUGCCUUGAACUCUCUCAGUGGGCCUAACCGAUAGCUUGAGGCUAUGAGCUGACAACAGUUUCAAGUGGUGGCCAGAGAGUAAAGUGACCACAGAGGAAGGACUAUAGAGAUACAACAACAUGACUAGCUUGGAAGCUGGAGGGAGGGGGACCUGUGAGCUGGUGGGUGUGAGUGACCUCUAGGACUUGAAAAAUCACAGAAAAAUCCUUCCUAAGAGCUUCCCGAAAGUAACUCAGCCUGACUGACACCUUUGGUUUAUUCUAGAAGCUUUCUCAGGAACCUUUGACCUACAGAACUUGUGGUUAAGAGUGUCAUCGAAAAGCAACACAAGAUAAACCAUCCAAAAAUCGAAAGCUGAAAGCUGAAAGCCCUUCUAGGCCCAUUUCAUAGCAGCAGAUCUGAGAAUCCACCCAUCCUGAGCCUGGCAGCCCCUCACCAGCUCCUGGAGAUGAAGGCUCGAACACGCUGGAGGAGUCGCUGUAGGUGUUGGAAGCCUGCUCAGACAGCUUCUUUUUACCACUUCCCUCUGACGACUUGUGCGACUUCUUCUUGUUUUUCACCAAGAUUUUAUACAUUAAAUCCAUAGGGCUUGGAAGAGGUACCCCAGAUUCCAGCUAUUUAAAAGAAAGCACAGCCUUUAAAAAUACUGUCCUUCCUUCCAGGAAGGCCUCUCUAAGCCCACUGCUUUGGAUAGCACAGCCUCUAGAUUAGCAUCUACUAUAUUCAACAUAGCUCAUGAAAGCAUUCUAAUUGUGCCCUGCAUUUUUUUUUUAAUAAAAGAUGCUUUUAAAUG